rnacentral:rRNA from 1 species
AUUGAACGCUGGCGGCAUGCCUUACACAUGCAAGUCGAACGGCAGCACGGGGGCAACCCUGGUGGCGAGUGGCGAACGGGUGAGUAAUGCAUCGGAACGUGCCCAGUAGUGGGGGAUAACUAGUCGAAAGAUUAGCUAAUACCGCAUACGACCUAUGGGUGAAAGCGGGGGAUCGCAAGACCUCGCGCUAUUGGAGCGGCCGAUGUCUGAUUAGCUAGUUGGCGGGGUAAAGCCCACCAAGGCUUCGAUCAGUAGCUGGUCUGAGAGGACGACCAGCCACACUGGGACUGAGACACGGCCCAGACUCCUACGGGAGGCAGCAGUGGGGAAUAUUGCGCAAUGGGCGAAAGCCUGACGCAGCGACGCCGCGUGGGUGAUG